GAAUCGCUAGUAAUCGUGGAUCAGAAUGUCACGGUGAAUACGUUCCCGGGCCUUGUACACACCGCCCGUCACACCAUGGGAGUGGACUGCACCAGAAGUGGUUAGCCUAACUUCGGAGGGCGAUCACCACGGUGUGGUUCAUGACUGGGGUGAAGUCGUAACAAGGUAGCCGUAGGGGAACCUGCGGCUGGAUCACCUCCUU
rnacentral:rRNA from 8 species